CGGCGGGAAAGCCCCAGGGGGCUAGCCCUCCCCUGCACCACAAACGGGCUUUACGGUGGGGGGCGUCAACCCCCAUGGGCGUCCAGCCUGCUGUGCGGAGACCCGCAAAGGUACCAAUGAAAACCGUUUCCACGGGACGCCUCGUCCGCGUAAGGCUCCUCGUAGGAGGAGUCCUUGCGCGGCAGAGGCCGAACCGGGUUAGGCCCGGGAGGGAGCGGCCCUAAGGCCUCCGAGGCGUGUUCGUGGAGGCGACGGUUAGAGGGCUGCCUUUGCGGGGACCCCACACAGCAGGCUGGGCCACCGUGGGGGGAUGCCGCCG
rfam:Thermofilum adornatus chromosome, complete genome.